rnacentral:lncRNA from 1 species
GCAAAGUGUAGUCCCUGAACCAGCAGCCUCAGCAUCCUGAGGGAAUUUGUUAAAAACGCGAAAUCUCAAGCCCUACCCAGACUUACUGAAUCAGUGUCUGCAUUGCAACAAGAUCCCCUGGUAAUUCCUAUGCACAUCAAAAUUUGGAAGGCACAGCUCUCAACUGAUGUCCUGGGUCUCCUUCACAUCCAUCCUGGGAAGGUCUUAUUCCUCAUUCCUGAGCUCAUCCCACUGAAGAGCUAUGGCACUUCCAAUUCCUGAGCCUUUGUGAGGUUCUGCGUGUCAGUAAGCUUGCUUCCGGGCAUCACCUCCGAAAACACUUGGGUUUCAGUUUUCUCUGUGAGGCUUCUUAAGGAGUGGAGGAAAGUGGAUGUUUUCAAGAUAACGCAGCUAACAUUCAAAGAGGUUAAGUGAAUUGUCCAAAGUCACACAGCAAGCACUGGAGGUAAGAUUCAAACCUGAAUAGUCUAUCAUUUCAGAGUACUUUCAACACUAUGCAAUACUAUCUCUCUAGCAAUCAGCCAGAUUGAAUAAGAUCUGUAGUUCACAGAGCCACUUGCAUUUUUAAUCCUAGUUUAAUUAACUUAGGAAAUUUGUAUCUAAAGGAUGCAUCUUUUUUUUUUUUUUUUUCAAUAGAGGCAGUGUCUCACCAUGUUGCCCAGACUGGCCUCAAACUUCUGGGCUCAAACCAUCCUCCCAUCUCAGCCUUCCAAAUGCUGAGAUUACAGGCGUGAGCCACCACGUCCCACCGGGAUACAUAGGUUUUACGGUAUCCUCUGAACCUCCCUUUAAUCAAGAGAGUGGACAAAACUGUGGGUCCCUCAUUUUCAAAAUGGCCAGUAAAAGAGGAAAUAAGGAUAUGCAAUGUUUAGUUAUUUUCUGCUGCCCUCUUUAAGUUGAUUGGGGAUCUCUUUGUCACUACUUUGGGAAGAUAACUUACCUUCUUAUCCACUAUGGCUAAUUGGAGCUUUUCUCAUGUCUUUAUGGUUGCUGGGAAAUUUUCAAAUAAAAUUCACUGGGAAUGGUUUGAAAUUGC